rnacentral:tRNA from 1 species
GGGCGUGUGACUCAGUGGUAGAGUGUUCGCUUUGCAUUGGCCUCAGGCCGCGAUUGCGAAAAGUCCGGUGUUCGAUCCACCGCUCGUCCA